UACCUGGUUGAUCCUGCCAGUAGUCAUAUGCUUGUCUCAAAGAUUAAGCCAUGCAAGUCUAAGUACGAGCUCUCGUACAGUGAAACUGCGAAUGGCUCAUUAAAUCAGUUAUGGUUCAUUUGAUCGUACAGUUUACUUGGAUAACUGUGGUA
rnacentral:ncRNA from 1 species